rnacentral:tRNA from 1 species
GGUCGGGUGGUGUAGUUGGUUAUGUAAGUUCCCACCUCUUCCAAUACAACUGAUUUGAGUUUGGCAAAGACUAAUAUGAAUGCAGCACAUCUCGUUAACAGUUUACUGUGACAUAUUCCGAGAAGGUCCUGGGAUCGAGCCCCAGCCUGAUCA